AUUGAACGCUGGCGGCAGGCCUAACACAUGCAAGUCGAGCGGAUGAAGGGAGCUUGCUCCUGGAUUCAGCGGCGGACGGGUGAGUAAUGCCUAGGAAUCUGCCUGGUAGUGGGGGAUAACGUCCGGAAACGGGCGCUAAUACCGCAUACUUCCUGAGGGAGAAAGUGGGUGAUCUUCGGACCUCACGCUAUCAGAGGAGCCUAGGUCGGUUUAGCUAGUUGGUGGGGUAAAGGCCUACCAAGGCGACGAUCCGUAACUGGUCUGAGAGGAUGAUCAGUCACACUGGAACUGAGACACGGUCCAGACUACUACGGGAGGCAGCAGUGGGGAAUAUUGGACAAUGGGCGAAAGCCUGAUCCAGCCAUGCCGCGUGUGUGAAGAAGGUCUUCGGAUUGUAAAGCACUUUAAGUUGGGAGAAAGCGCAGUAAGUUAAUACCUUGCUGUUUUGACGUUACCAACAGAAUAAGCACCGGCUAACUUCGUG
rnacentral:rRNA from 1 species